rnacentral:lncRNA from 1 species
UAAAUUCAAAGGGAGACUUUUUUACUAUGGAAAAAGUUUGGAUCAACUUCAAAACAAUGUUGGACUCGGAUGAUGACGUGUAUCAGUAUAUAUUCGGAAUACUCAUAAUAUUUGAAGUGUAUGUAAAUUGUAUAUAAAUAUAAUAUAGGUAACCUUUAGUAUCUACUAUACGCAAACGGAUACUGUACGUGAAUACUAGUACCAAUACGAAUAAAAAUAUGAAUUAAAAUGAAAGGAAAAAAAGAAAAGGAAUAACCAUUUAGUGAAUACAAAUACCAAUACGAAUUAAAAUGAAAGGAAAAAAAAGAAAAGAAACCAACCAACACUGCCGUCCGCAACAGCGGGACAUGGCUCGCUAUUUAGUACCGAUUGGUACUACCGACCAGUACUAAAUGACGCAUUUAGUACUGAGCAUUUUUGCCGAGUACUGAAUGGUGUGACAUUUAGUACCGAACAAG